AACUGUGGAUGGUUUGGAGCUGAUAACCAACCUUCUUCUUGCACCAAGAGAGGGAGAACGUGUCGCUAAUGCCCGAGCAAUCCUUCUCGUUCAACGAGUUGGCAGUGCGCCACAGAUUGGGUGGAGAGGUGCAGAGGGCUUGCCCCGUCUUAUCAGGCGACGGGGACCGCACGGUGGCCAUCUCCAUCCCCGUCCCCGUCUCCAUUGACCGCAGCGAAAACUACAGCUCCCCCUUCUCAUCAACGGCUGGUCACGGCCGGCACUCCAAGAAUGAUUCCCACUGAAUAAUGAAUGCUCGAGUUGCCCAUUUCCCUUCUUUCACGGCAGCCAAGUUUAUCGUAGCCCUUUCUGGCAGUUGUUUGUUCUUUGUUUCUUUGAACAAGACGUGGGGCUGCAAUGAUGAAUCACACCACCUGGGAAUUUUGGCACCUACAUGUUAGAAAGAGAACAUACACAUGAUAUGAGACAGUUCAUGCUUGGUCUCUUCAGGUGCUCAUGCUCCCUGAAUCCAGAAAUCAACAACCUGGCACCUUUGUAUUCUUCAAAACUCAUCUCGGUAAUUCUCCUGCUGUUCCCUCCCGAAACUUGCCACCUUCACUCAUCUUACUGUUCAUCUCCUAGCAAGUGAUGAUCAAAGAUUUUUCUUCUUUUUUGCUUUGAAAAAGACACCAGCACUGUAAGAAGUUUAUUCGUACAAAUCACAAGCUGCCAACCCACACAAAAGAGAGAAAAAUGUGAGUUGAAGGAUUACCUUUAGGAGGGAGUGUGCAUUACGAUUGUCACUGUUAUGAAAUUUGAAAUGGUCUCUGUUUUUCAUCAAACAUUUUUUAUGAUCGAACAGUAUUACUGUAUGAAGAUGCGCUGACUAAACCUUUUCCACGACUGAAGAUGUGGUAAUUAAACUUCUCUCAUCCUUCUGAAGCCAAAAAAGAAAAAAAAAAGUCUGGGUAGCCAUAUGCAAAUCAUUUUCUACGAGUUCAUGAGACGGUCCAUCGUCAAAGUGAUCCAGCUUUCAACCCAUCAUGCAUCUUGCAUUACAAAGGUGUGCUUCUCCCACCGAAAAUUCUAGCCAAUUAGCAACUAUCCAUCCCUAUGGAAUUUGAGUCUUCUACUUCCUUUCUGGAUGCACCUUGUCACUACUUUCUUGUGAUUGCAGAAGUGCAAAGCUAGAUUGUAAGAUUGUAAGAUACAGUGUUAUCAAAGAAAGGGAGUAGUCAUAGGUAGAGUGGAAUCUCUUCUGAUGACUUGCCCAAUUUUCUCUUAACCUUUCCAUUAUCUUCGUUUCAAUGCUCUGCAAUCAACCAUCACUUUGCUAGAAGAUGCUGUCACGGUAGCUUCUCUGCAAAUGAUGCUCUUUUUCCCGUACGUACUAGUAGACAUAUUGUUGAGUGCUUUCCAUGUCGUACCAAACCAAGAAAUUAGUAAAUACCAACUCUAUGUUUCACCAAAUCCUAAGCAUUGUCUGCUCCUCUUUAUGAUUGCUGCCUGGACAAGUUGUGUUCGACUCGACAUCAUGGAAACUUAUUUUGAGUGAGAAUUGAUUCUUUUUGUCAGCUCCUGACAACCUGACAUCCGGUGAGAAUGGUCGAGUAACUUGCAGGGUGGUACAGACCUCUUCUACUUUGUCCAUUAUAAUUAGUCAGUAGGGACAAAUGAAACCUUGUUUUCUUUAGAUUAUGAAAUACUCCUAAGAUCAGCUGCUGGAUCUCAAGUAACUUUGCAAUACCUUCUUUAUGCAACCCUCUUGGCAUAAAGAAGAAAUUGUUGAUCCUGGAAACCUCAUUAAAAUUCUAGUUUCAUAAACAGAGAAAUGUGUGUAUAAUAGUCCCUCAAAAACUGAACCAUAUCAACCAAGUUUUACUAUGAUCUUAUUAACACUGGGUAAUUUCAACCAAAAUAAAGAACUUGUAAUGCAAGCUCCUCAGUCCCUCACCACAUACAUGGUGCUUGUGCCACACAAUCAUUUCAUGUACCAUGCAAGCACUGCAUGUAGGUAUUAAGAUUAACCCUCCUAACUAAGCUUCUCCAAACCAAGGAGAAUGAAAGUUUCCAAAAUGAUAAACAAGAGAGGAGAAUAAACUACUUUGUUGGUGGAAAAUUGCUGAAAACUAAAAAGAAAAAGAAAAACAACAGACCGCUCUAAAAGACUUGGGAGUUAAUUUACAGGGCAAUCUGAGACGAUGGCUGAUCAGAUCAAUGACAAUCUGGUUCAGGACUGCUGCCGGAACUAUUCAGAGCAUUAGCACAAGCUGAUGCACCAGGAUGGACCUUGUCAUGUUCCUUGAUGGACAUGAUAACAAAUGAACAGCAAAAGAGGCCAAGAAUGCAAUAGUCAAACCAAUCAUGUUUAAGAACUCCCGAUGACUAUCUACACAAUCUACCAUGCAGUUUGGCCCCAUAUGCUAUUUCAAGAGUAACUUAUUCAAAUUACCGACACUAAAAAGUUCAUACCAUCUACAGACUCGCAGAUCUAAGGUGAGAAGAACAGGGAGAAGAACGAUGGCAUAAGCUUAGAUCGAGCUUUAGGCUUCGGUACACUAUAGCUGUCGCGACCGUAACCAUGUAAAAGGAUUCUCCCCCCUAGAGUAUAUAAACUAAUGAACCAAAUGCUUAACGCCCACAUACUCUCGUACUUUAAUCAUACAUUUAACCAAGAAAAAUUAGAAGAUAAUGUAAAGAUCCCUUCUUUCCGGAUCAAAGCUCAAAAAGCUGAAAGAAAACGACAGAAAGAAAGAAUCUUUUUCGUCUGUGGUCAAGAAUUCGGGGGUACCUCCUCGACCACGUUGCCGAUACGGACGUAGGUGGCCUCGGUGACGACGCCCAACGACUGCUGUCCUCCUCUCCUCGUCCUCUUUCUUCCCCAUC
rnacentral:lncRNA from 1 species